CCAAUAGGCAACAUUUUGACAUCAAGUGGCUAAAAACUCCACCCUCAGAUCAGGCUAACGCCGCCAUUUUAUGAACAUGGGUCCUAUGAAGAGCCAUGAAAUCUGACUACGCUUGCGCAGAUCAUCAAUUACCUCACCUCUCCUCACCUCCAAUCACCUCUCUCCACAUUUCAGACCACCUUGCUCCCUAUCCCAUAAAUAUCCCUGAGUCCCUAUUUUCGCGGAAGCAAAUUUGAGGCUUGUGCCCUUGCUUCCUCACGUGGCUGCCUUGCUUUAAAUUUACCUCAGCUUCAUCUACUCUAGACAAUGUCAACCUAUCUCUUUGGGAAGUCACAAGGAUCCUGCAAGGUGAAUUCCAGGCUCUGAAGCACAAAAAUGCAGAAACCAAAUGUGACCAAUAUAAGGGCUUAAUGAGUGCUGAAGAAGGCAAGACUAAUUCCUAGUCAUACUCCCACCAUUACAGCCUGUUUCCAGCAUUUCAAAAACAAUUCCACACUAUUUACUCAUAUUCAAAUUAACUAUUAACCCAGGUUUUUUUUUUUUUUAAUAUUGUGCUCCAGGUAUCUCAUGAAUUGCAAAACAUUCCUUAAUUGAUACAGUGUUUGGGCAGUAUUUAUACCUACCCUGACUUUCUCCUGAUUAUGUUUGUUUGGACUUAUUAGUCCUAAGGCAUAUUGCAUUGUUUCCCCCUAUUCUGCUUUUUCCUGGCAUUGAUAAAUUUGUUCUUUCAGUUUCAAGGCCACCCUAAAAUGUAUUCCAUAUUCCCUGAUGUUUGUGACUGCUCAGCUUUUUGUCUUCAUGAUUCUAAAGAGAACAUUUUCAAAUCCAUCAUUGGUCAAUGAUGGCUAUUAAAAUAGUGCUAAGCUCAAGGCUGACUGAUGUCCACUAUCACUUCAGGUGUUCCCUCUCAGUUUCUCAGAUUGGUGAUAAGUUAUUUAGAAGCCACCCUUUCAACAGUGCCAAAAGUUGCAAAUGGUAUGCUGCUGUUUCUUGAAAAUUCAUGAUUUUGAAAAACAAAGAAACACAGAAGAUGACAGUAGUAACAUUCACUGGAGAAGUAGGCCCCCUGCAGCCAGCCUUGGAGAUCCAGAUGUUCUGGGCAGCCAGUAACUAAUUCUUACCUCAGGGUAGGGGUAGUGUUGGUCUUGGCUUUCUGGCUGUAGCUCAUACUGUAGCCUUUCAGGGCUUAAGCAGAGCCAUUUUGCUAUAAAUUUAGACAUAAUUUAACGAGUUCAGUUAUCUAGUUUCCUAGAUCAUCUGAGUAGAAACACAGAAGCAGCAAGUUAGAACAGAAGAAACAAGCUCACAGUAGCAAGUAGUGACAGUUAAAAAGUGGGAAAGGACAACAGUGGAGACUAGAAAGCUAACAUAAGAACCUAAAAAGCAAAGUAGCCUGGGCGCAUUAGCAGAAAAGCAGAUGACUACUUCUGUAAUCCUUGCAGCCCUUGAGCUGAGACUACCAGAAGGAGAGAAGAGAAAGAAGAAAAAAAUAUUUGAAGAACAGAAUGCUGAAAGUCAAAGGCAAGGAGAAAAUCUUGAAAAAAGCGAGAGAAAAAUGUCAUUUACAAGGGAGCUCAAUAUGAUUAACAGUUGACUUCUCAUCAGGAACAAUGAAAGCCAGAAGGCAGUGGAAAAACAUUCAAAACGCUCCAAGAAAAAUACUGUCAACCAAGAAUCCUAUAUCCAGCACAGCUAUCUUUAAAACAAGAAGGCAAAAUACUUUCCCAGAUAAACAGAAACUGAGAGAAUUUGUUGCUAGCCAACUCAUCUCACAAACAAAUACUAAGUUCUUCAGGUUGAAAGAAAGUUAUCCUGGACAGUAAUAUGAAUCCACAUAAACAAAGAACACUGGUAAAGGUGGAAGCCCUGCCACAGCAUGUCUUGCCAAGCGGUAUGCAGGUCUGCACACAGGAUCCAAACUGGCAAACCCUGGGCCUCCAAAGUGGAAUGUGCAAACUUAACUGCUGCACCACUGGGCUAGCCCCAGGAUUUCAUUUCUUAAAGCAUACUAUUAAAACUUUUUUCUGGAAAUGUUAUAAUAGUAUUAUGCAAGUUCAGUACAUGACCUACAAGAGGAAAUAAGGAGAGGGAGUAAAAUAAUUUCAAGUCCUUCUGGCUUCUAAUCAAAGAAUCAGUUUAACAGCUUUUAGCUCCUAUUUCAAUAUUUAUGAAAACUCUGAGCUUUAUUUCCUGUUUUUUUUUAAAAUUCUAAUGUCAAGUGGGUUAUUUCCAGGCUAAAGGCAUUUGGUUCCUUCCUUAGUAUUUGCUCAUUCAACUAUUCAGUCAGAGGCAUAAUUCAUUUGGAGAUGUAGUGGCAGACAAAUGUCUCCAUUCUGCAAAUUAUAACUCAGGACACAAUCAUAUGCAUAGUGCCUUU
ensembl:lncRNA